GCCAAAGUGGUGUAGUGGUUACACGCUCGCCCCGCAUGUCAGAAGUCCGGGGUUCAAAUCCCGGCUCGGCCA
rfam:Opisthorchis viverrini opera_v5_68.27, whole genome shotgun sequence.